rnacentral:rRNA from 1 species
AUUGAACGCUGGCGGCAUGCCUUACACAUGCAAGUCGAACGGUAGAGGGGGCAACCUCUCGAGAGUGGCGAACGGGUGAGUAAAGCAUCGGAACGUGCCCAGUAGUGGGGGAUAGCCCGGCGAAAGCCGGAUUAAUACCGCAUGAGACCUACGGGUGAAAGGGGGGGAUCGCAAGACCUCUCGCUCUUGGAGCGGCCGAUGUCAGAUUAGGUAGUUGGUGGGGUAAAGGCCUACCAAGCCGACGAUCUGUAGCUGGUCUGAGAGGACGACCAGCAACACUGGGACUGAGACACGGCCCGGACUCCUACGGGAGGCAGCAGUGGGGAAUUUUGGACAAUGGGCGAAAGCCUGAUCCAGCCAUGCCGCGUGCGGGAAGAAGGCCUUCGGGUUGUAAACCGCUUUUGUCAGGGAAGAAAUCCUUUGAGUUAAUACCUCGGGGGGAUGACGGUACCUGAAGAAUAAGCACCGGCUAACUACGUGCCAGCAGCCGCGGUAA